CCUGCUUUAUCAGCCACUGCAGACGGGACCACGAUCGAAAACCUUUGAUCCCUCUGUAUCCUUCUGUGUGUUUAGGGUGAAAAGUUCACUUAAUGAGUGUUUUAUGCUUUUAGCUUUAGUUGUGUUUGUUUUUGAUUGCCUGUGUGAGUUUAGGGCUUGUCUUUCUUUGUUUCUCUGUGUUUUAACUUGGUUUUUUUCCCCCCGCCCUGUUCCAGGGUGCUGUGCUUGAUGCAGCAGCGGCUGCAAUCUCUCCCUCUUUCGCUUUUCCGUACUCGGUCUCCCUCCCCUCCCCGCAGGCACGCGGGUCAGGGGGGUUGCGAGGGUCCCUUCCCCGCGCGGUGCUGCUGAGAUGGGGGGCUUGGAGUGGCUUUGCCGCUUCGUUCCCCCCUUCCCAUCAGGGCAAGGAGGGAGGUGUGAGAGUCGGGGCCUGAGGUGCCCUGGUUUUGCCUCACGACCUUCGUCAAGGCCCCCUGUCAAGGAAGGGACUGUGUACAAGGGGCUUGGGCCUAAGCCACGGUGUGUGUGUACCAAGCAUUGAACUACAGGUGUGUCCACGGGACCGGAGCUGGUUCCCAUGGGAACUUGUACGAAGACAAUGGACAGCUGGACAGCCUGUGCUUACCAGUGACCAGGCCCAGACCUGCUUGUCCCAAACCUGCCUGAUCUGAACGGUUGCACCUGGUUCCCAGAGCAACGAGGCUCCUCACAAUGACUCUCAGGUGCUCCCCCCAUGUUGGCCAGGUGCCCCCCGCUUCUGAAAUGACUAUAAAAGCUUCCCCCGGCGACUCACACUUCGAGAUCUCCCCACGGACAGAAGACGGUUCCAUUGGCCAGACGCCAUGCCACAAGGACGCCUCUGCCAUUGCAGGUUCAGCAGUCGUGUUUCCCAUCACCUUUGAGGAGUGAAAAGGGACAUUGCAUAGCCUUAGUGGCUGUCACAUAGACUGCAAAGAUGACCAUGUGGUUGGAAGUUAUGGAGACAACAGAAGUCCUCUGUCAGCAGCAUGGUCCUGUUUUCAUCAAUCUUCCUCGAGUCACUCCCUGCUCCAGACUUCAAGAAGACAUCCAGUGAUGCCAAGGAUCAACAUCUUGUCUCAAUGGACUUUUCCUUUUCAUGUGUUUUAAUUUUAUAGUAGAUGUUGUUUCAUUUAAGUUUCCUACAUAGAUGUAGUUGUAUUUUAGGUAAUAUUUCAAGUGCCUUCGGUGUAUGUUUUGUAGUUAUUAAGGGCUCUUAUUUCACUUUGUGGUUUUUGCCUUUGUGGUGAUUGGGAUCACGUAGAUUUUUUUUGGAGUUAGAUAUUUUUUUAUUGAUAUAUUUAUUAAUUUUAUUAUUCUUUUUUUUUUUCUAGGUGACAUCCUACAGGUAUCAUGGGCCAAUUGAGUGAACGAAUGUCCAAUCCUGCACAUCCUGCAAUGGGUCUUUGCCCUUUCAAACACUGCAUGCAUUUUUUGCAUUAAAAAAAAAAAAAAAAAAAAAAAA